GAUGAGAACGUAGCGAAAUGCGAUAAGUAAUGUGAAUUGCAGAAUCCAGUGAAUCAUCGAAUCUUUGAACGCACAUUGCGCCCGCCAGCAUUCUGGCGGGCAUGCCUGUUCGAGCGUCAUUUCAACCCUCGACCUCCCUUUGGGGAAGUCGGCGUUGGGGACCGGCAGCACACCGCCGGCCCUGAAAUGGAGUGGCGGCCCGUCCGCGGCGACCUCUGCGUAGUAAUCCAACUCGCACCGGAACCCCGACGCGGCCACGCCGUAAAACACCCAACUUCUGAACGUUGACCUCGAAUCAGGUAGGACUACCCGCUGAACUUAAGCAUAUCAAUAAGCGGAGGA
rnacentral:misc_RNA from 1 species